rnacentral:lncRNA from 1 species
UUUCUCGGUGUUGUUGUUUGUGUGUUUCCAUGGUAACGGCAGCAGCAGUGAAGGACGUGAAUCCUCGGUGUCUCUCAUCAUCUCGAGUUCGCUCUCUGAUUCUGUUCCCGUGUCGUUCCUGCAGCUGAACUGGGACUGCAGGACGGUUCAUGUUCCUGGUUCUGUAAAUCUGGACGGUUGAGGCGGGUCGGCGCCGUGGUCACUGACUGACCUUUCCCUGCAGUGACUGUCUCCAUCUUCACCUCCUGGUCUGUUGUUGGUCUCCUGGUUUGAUGAAUGUCUCUCAGUCCUCACGUCUUCGUCCCUCACAGACGCUCCUGUCACACCUUCUCUGAAACUCUUCCUCUCCAUCUUUAGACCCUCGGGGAUCAGCGCCGCAGCAACACGCCGCCUGUUUCCUGGUUCAGAACGAUCCUGUGGUGAUUCACUUCCUGUUCCCCUCCCAUCCUGCAGCUCUGGCUCCAGGAAGACCAACAAUUCAUCCAGGACCUCAAAGGUUUCCUAUCACACACACACACACACACACACACACAUGCACACACACACACACAUACACAUAUUGUCUUUGUUGUCUAUCACUGAUGUCUAAAAAGUAGAGACAUGGGGGGGGGACAGGGACACAAACAGACAAACUGUUGAUUUAUAUGAAGUGCUCUGUUAUUUAUACAGUAUAUAUAAAUAUAUAUAAUAUUACACUUAUAUUUUGACCCUCUUAGACCUACUUCCUGGUGUUAAACGUGUUAAUUUCCUUUUUUCUUUUUAGACUUUCAAACAUUUCAACCUUCUUUAAAUGAUAAUAAAAAACUUUAAUGAUUCAGACGUAACGAUCAAAAUUAAUCAGGAAAUGAUUGAAACUGUUGGUGUCUCUCCUGAAGGUUUUUCCUUCAUUUUAUUCCAGUUCUUCUUUAAAACGCUGAGAUUAGAUCUGAGAUUCUGGGUCCUGAAGGAGACCUGACCCUGUCUCGGUCUGCUGUGGUCUGAGUCCUGAUAACAGGGUCUGAGGGUCUCUCAGGUGUUUGGGAGUCCCUGUUCUGGUCCUGGUGUUCCUUCCCCGUAUCUCUGCUCACUAAUCUGCUUAGUUCCUCGCUGUGGUGAAUGUAAAUAUAGAAGUUCUGAUCCUCUUACAGGAGGACUUGGACCAGGAUUUGGAGACUCACAGCCUGUCAGCUGCAGUUCUGUUUCUGUGGUUUAGGGGGCGCUGUGUGUGCUGACUCCGCCUCUGUUGGCCUCUCUGUGUCCUGGAGACUGAAGCUUCACAAACUCAGAAACACUGAGAAAGAAAAUAAAGAAAAUAAGAAAAUUAAGAAAAUAAAGAAACAAAGAAAAUAAAGAAAAAAAGAAAACAAAGGAAACAAAGAAAAUUAAAACUUAAAGAAAAUUCAAAAAUAAAGAAAAAAAAAAUAAAGAAAAAAAAAAAAUAAAGAAAAUAAAAAAUAAAGAAAAUAAAAAAAUAAAGAAAAUAAAGGAAAUAAAGAAAAUAAAGGAAAUAAAGAAAAUAAAGAAAAUAAAAAAAUUAAGAAAAUAAAGAAAAUUAAAACUUGAAGAAAAUUCAAAAAUAAAGAAAAAAUAAAUAAAGAAAAUAAAAAAUAAAAAAAUAAAGAUAAAGAAAAUAAAAAGAAAAUUCAAAAAUAAAGAAAAAAUUAAAUAAAGAAAAUAAAGAAAAAAGAGAAAAUAAACAAAGAAAAUAAAAAAAAUAAAGAAAAUUAAAAAAUAAAAAAAUUAAGAAAAUAAAGAAAAUUAAAAAAUAAAAAACAAAGAAAAUUCAAAAAUAAAGAAAAAUUAAAUAAAGAAAAUAAAAAAAAUAAAGAAAAUAAAGAAAAUUAAAAAAUAAAGAAACAAACAAAACAAAGAGCUCUUUUACCCGACAACGAUCAGCUCGGCGUUUGUCUUCUUCAGUGUCAAACAGGAAACUCAAACAUCCAUCAGACGUUUUUUUCUGUUUGUCUCAGAUUCAGAUGUGAUGAGACCGUCUUUGAGACUCUGAUGUCCUCGUUGUCUUAUCGUGUUGGAGACAUGAACACAGUGAAGCUCAAAAACACACCAUCACUUAUCUGCGGUCCGUGUUUGACCUUCUUCUUCUUCAUCUUCAUCAGUCAGGACUGUGAGUGCUGCAGCUGAUACCAACGCCGCCGUCACUGUUAUGACCUCAUCUGUUAACUGAGGAUGACCUCACGUAUCAGCUGAUGGGUCAUGACCAUGAAGACUCAAAUACCUGCAGUUACAAACACACCUGUGCAUACGUUCACCUGUGCAGACGUUCACCUCAGAGUGAUUCAACACGUUCAUUUACAGCUGAACUUUGACCUCCUGUUUGUUUGUUUUCCUCAUAAUCUAAUCCGAGCGAGCUCACUGUCCCGUAAACAUCAGUUUGUUAGGAGACCUUCAGUCUGAGAGAUAGAAACCUCGGGACAGUCAGUCUGUGAAAACAUCUCAAAGUCUUCAGAAGGACGUUUGAGCGUGGAGACGCUGACGAACAUGAGCGCGGUUUACAGCAGAGCGUCAGUAUACACUCGAUAAAGACUGAGUUUGAAGAAUUAAAGUAUAAAAUAAAACACAGAAGUUCAACUCUGAGGAGAAAGUCAAAGCUGUGUAAAGACGAAGAACCGAACACUGAGACGGUUUUAGAGGAGAUGGUGUCAGGAGGUCACCACAGAGAAGGUCAUCAGAAGUUUGGGCUCCACAAAUCUAUUACUAAAUAAUCAUUGAUUAUCUGUUGACACUCCUGAUCACUGAAGCCGGUGAUGAGGACGAAUCAUUGACUAAUAUGAGGAAAUACUUUCUCAUGGUCGAACCUCGAAGAUCAGACCACAACAGUGUCUACAGAGACUCUGAGAACAAACGAGGAGUGUCCUUCAGCUGAGGGAGAACAAACUGACAUCAGGGCGGUGGUAUGUAGGUCCACAUGAGAGAGAGGGAGAGAGGGGGGGAGAGAAAGAGAGCGAGAGACAGAGAGAGAGAGAGAGAGGGAGAGAGAGAGAGAGAGAGAGAGAGGGGCCUUUGUGAGAGUGAGAGUGAGGGGACGAGAGCGUCAGUGUACCACCACACAAUCCACAGUGUGUGUGUGUGUGUGUGUGUGUGUGUGUGUGUGUGUGUGUGUGUGUGUGUGUGUGUGUGUGUGUGUGUGUGUGUGGGCUGGACUCCUCAUUUCAAUCAUUCGACUGUUGAACCACAGACCAGUAUCCGUGUGUUCCCACUACAGAUCCAUCUGGUGUCUGUUUGUCUCUUCAUGUGUGUGCAGCAUCUACACAGUCAGGUCUGAAGAUCUAGGUCCAGGUAGGAAGACUCACCUGUCCUGUUAAAACCGUCUCAGACUGUGUGAGCGAGAGAUCUCAGUGGAAGGACCACAAAACCUCAGAGCUCUAAAACAGAUCAGAAGAUUUCUGAAAGAGUUCCCCAAACCCAUGUAGACCACACCUCCCAAGGUCUCCAAGUGUUCCAGCAGACUUCUGAUGAGGUUCUCAGAGUUCAACAGUUAUCACUAAACCCUCAGACACAGACCUAACCGAGCUUUAAAACAGAGCUCAGACAGACUUUUAUAAUAGUUCUAACAACUGGACUCACUUGGGGUUCUUGAAGAGUUCU